AAGAAGGAACGAGUUAGUCGAGUCCACCGAUCUUUCUUAGCUAGCCUGAGAGGUUGAGCGACUAACGAUGCGUUCACACACCAACCGCGUUUUUCAGGCGCGUCUGGUUUACAUCCAAUGUCUAUGUGGAGGCCCGUCGAGGGCCGUCGUGGCGGUUUCCUGUAUAUAGUGCGGCGCCAUUUGAACCGUUUUAGCGAUUUGAGCGUGUCAGCGCAACCGCGUCUUGCGCUCCACAUAUACGUCGACGCUCAAAACGCGUUUGUUGUGAAAGCACCAAAAGUGCACAUGCGUCGAGUUUGAAGCGUCAGAAGCGUUUUUGACUCGUGUAACUCUUUUGGCGUGAACGCACCAUAAAGCUUUUCCUCUGCCUACUUCCCCCAGAAUGCUGUGCGGUCCUAGAUCGGAAUUCAGGUGGCCUCGAUGACACCAAUGUGUGCACGCAUGCAAACACACCCACGCAUGCAGGAAUAACAGCAUGGUGGACCGGGCUCGAUUAUACAAGCGGAGCGGCUCAAAACCUGACAGGAGGAACAGGCACCGAAAAGGAAACACGAAAAAGAAAUAUAAAGGGCUUAUUUGCUCGUGUUGUGUAA